GAGAAGUGACGUGUUACGUCAGACGCCGGAAAACUCCGCCGCGCGGUUUUGAAGUUCACAGGUGCACCGCAUUGCUUGUUAAUUGCGACUCGACCUGGUCCGGAUGAACAGCCCAAACAGAAAGAUACGAGUUUCUGCGCACGAAGACCAGGUCGACGUUGUCUAGCGAGUACAGUACACUCCGGAACCGAAAAGACAAGAUACAUCAUCCUCAACAUCAAGUUCUUCAACACAGAUUCUAUGGACCAGUGUUUACCAUGAGUGGAGAAGUUGGAUCCUGGAGAAAAAAAAUUCUUGUUUAGGUGCUGACCCACAAGGACCCAGACUCAUCACAGCUGAUGAAGUUUACAUCCUGAUCCCUGCUCACCUGCAUAAGGAUUUUUCUUUUUCUUUGUGUGAUCUUUAUCUACAUGUUUCACUGGGGUCACUAACAGAUGGACUGAGUCCCAGUCAGGAUGUUAAUUCAGUUGUAAAUGCACUGGCCACUAAUUUUCAGUCCAGUAUAAUUUGAGGAUGUUGGGUAUUUUAGAGAAGUAUACUGUACAGGUAAUUAAAACUUUGACUUUUACUUUUUGCCUUGACUUUUUUACUUUCUGGUUUUUAGGUGCUAUGAAGUUGGCAAUUGUUGGAUUUUUAAUAACAUUUAGCUCGUGUGUUGUUGUUUUUUUUGUUUGUUUUUUUAAAUGUUAAAUUGACUUUGUCAAAAUUUAAACUCACCAAUUCUGUCAAACUUGUCCUCUGAAAAAUUAAUCAUUUCACUCGAUAUACGUGCAGGGCUAAGUUGACAAAUGUAUAAAUAUACUGGUGUAAUCUGUUAGGCUUACAGGUUAGAUUGUGCAUUUAGGUUCUUUAACAGGAAAUCAACUUGGCAGAGAGAGACAACAGGAGACUUGGUGCUGGUUGUUGGGUCCAUACCAGCUCUGGAAAUCUAACCUCCUGGACUGUUGUGUGGUAGUAGCCCAGAUGGACCAACUCCUUGGUAGCCAGAUCUUCUCAGCCACACCAUGUCUCCAGACCUUCUAUGAAGAGCAGCAUUAAAAACGACAGACCUGAAAUUAUGGAACGUGGAGAGACUACAUGCUGGUCAGAGCACGUCACGACUUCAGCCAAUGAAAUCCAGACCUGCCUCCUUCCUACUGGGUGUCUUAAAGUCUGUACUAAACUCUUUGUUUAGAUCGUGCCGCCCCCCCCAGGACCCUGACUCACCACAGCUGAUGGGCUUGAAUGGACUCAAGCCCUGCUCGACUACAUGUGGAUUUUCUCUUUUGUGUCUGUGUUCAUAUCUAAUUGCAUGUUGUUUAAUGGUCUAUUGUUUGCGCAGGGUAAUUUUUAGAAGUCAACUGUACACUUAUUUAAAUAUUUGACUGUGAUUUUAAGACUACUUGGUUAAAACGACCAUUCAGCCCAUAGAUAUUUUUAUAAUAAACUCACCGAUUCUGUCAAACUGACACUAUUUGGACUUAAAUUGUCUUUAGUGUCAUUAAACCGUUUUGGACUUUUUGCUCUGCCUUGUCUCUCCCUGCCAAGUCCAUUUCCUGCUAAAGACAUGUCUGCCCUUCUGUGGCAUUUAGACAGUGUUGGGAGGCCGCCCAGCUGAGGAAUAUUGUAAUUUUGUCCUCUGCUUAAUUAAUCGUUUCACUAGAUACAUGCAAGGUUGACGUGACAAAUUUAUAAAUACAUUGUAUUGCUCGUUAAGGUUCUUUAACAGAAAAUAUACUUGGCAUAAAGAGAUGACAGGAGACCUGAAUGCUUUGUCUUCAUUUCUGAAAGGUGACAUCCCAACUCUCACCCGGGGGACACAAACGCCUCGCAUACAGCCGUCGGACGCAGCAGCUGAAUCUGCUCCUGCUGCUUUCUCCGACGACUUCUUCAACCGAGCUCUUGCGGUUUCCAACUGCAACGACGAGUCUCUGUGUUGGGGUAGAGGAGGGAGGACUGCUGGCUCCAGGACCGCAACCUGCUCAGACCGUCCAGGCUCAGCCAAUCGGGGGGCGUCAAACGUGAACAUGGUGGCUGCCGGCGUCUCCGAAGAAAAAAAUAUCAUCCGUCUCUUUCAACUCAGAGGAUGGGGGUGAGUGGAUGUGGAGGGAGGGGAGGGAGGGGGGGGCGGGGGGAGGGGGGGUGCAAAUCAGG